GGGUCACAGCUCAGUGGUAGAGCUUCAGCUUUGCAUGCAGAAAUUCGCAGGUUCAGCCCCUGGCAUCUCCA